rnacentral:rRNA from 1 species
CUACGGGGCGCUCCAGUCGAGAAUCUUCCGCAAUGGACGAAAGUCUGACGGAGCGACGCCGCGUGCGGGAUGAAGGCCUUCGGGUUGUAAACCGCUGUCAGUGGGGAGGAAAUGCAUCAGGGUUCUCCCUGGUGUUUGACCGAUCCGCAGAGGAAGCGCAGGCUAAGUUCGUGCCAGCAGCCGCGGUAACACGAACUGCGCGAACGUUAUUCGGAAUCACUGGGCUUAAAGAGUUCGUAGGCGGCCUUUCAAGUCGGGUGUGAAAUCCCUCGGCUCAGCCGAGGAAUUGCGCCUGAUACUGUUGGGCUUGAGGGGGAUAGGGGUGAGCGGAACUGAUGGUGGAGCGGUGAAAUGCGUUGAUAUCAUCAGGAACACCGGUGGCGAAGGCGGCUCACUGGAUCUCUUCUGACGCUGAGGAACGAAAGCUAGGGGAGCGAACGGGAUUAGAUACCCGGGUAGUC